GGGGAGGCCGAGGGUGAGUAUGGUGCAGAGAUCUCCAAUCUUUUUAGUUUUCCACUGCGAAAGCCCGACGAUCGUGAGAGCGGUAGAUGCGGCCGACGAGCUUUAUCACGUCCGUGGCACCUACUUCUCCAAGGAUUCGGCAAGGACGAUCUCGAGGCUUCAAGCCCUAGGUACUGAUGCACUGAAGUGUCAGAUUUAAUCCAUGGCCUGGAGAAGUUUAUGGGAAGUUUUGCCAUAAGCUGAAGUAACAGUCAG